GGCUAGGGGAGGCGAGUUGCAUGUGUCGCUUCAGCUGGCGAUAGCGGCAGGAGCGGAGCCGGUGGGGCCAGUGCAACUGCCUGGAUUUGUGAAAUGGCUGCUGACAUUUCUGAAUCCAGCCGGACUGAUUGCAAAGGAGACCCAAGGAACAGUGCCAAGUUAGAUGCCGAACUCGAAGUGGGUACUUCGAGUCCUUUAUUGUGGAGUCUGUUCAUUACCAACAGAGUACUGUGAAUAUAUGCCUGAUGUGGCUAAAUGUAGACAAUGGUUAGAGAAGAAUUUUCCAAAUGAAUUUGCAAAACUUACUGUAGAAAAUUCACCCAAACAAGAAGCUGGAAUUAGUGAGGGUCAAGGAACAGCAGGGGAAGAAGAAGAGAAGAAAAAACAGAAGAGACGUGGAAGGGGUCAAAUAAAACAAAAAAAGAAGACUGUACACAAAAGGUUACUGUAGCCAAAACUCCCAGAGCAAAAAAGAAAUACGUGACAAGAGCGCGUGGCCUUGCAGCUUUUCAAAUUGAUCUUAAAGAAGCACCAAGAUUUUUUGCUCAGAAAUUCUCCUGUGGUGCCUCAGUAACAGGGGAGGAUGAAAUUAUCAUUCAGGGAGGCUUUACAGAUGACAUAAUUGAUGUCAUGCAGGAAAAAUGGCCAGAGGUAGAUGAUGACAGCAUCGAAGAUCUUGGAGAAGUGAAGAAGUGAAUUUGAAAAUUUGUAUUUAAUGGCCUGAACUGAGAGUUGAUACGGCCAAAGGGAGAGAGGCCUUUAAAAAUAUAUAUAUAUUCUACAGUGAAACUGUAGACUGCCCUCAUCCUUGGCGUUUUCACUGUUCUGUACAAGGCUGCUUGUUUUUUUAAUUGCCAAAGUCAAAUAAACAGGGGAGACUGUCAUUGCUCAUACAUGAAUAGAUUUAGUCAAAUAAAAAAUUCUGGUCAUUUGGUACUGA